rnacentral:rRNA from 1 species
CGGGGAGGCUGGAAUUGACGGUGGAGGGGUGAAAUCCGUUGAGAUCGUCAGGAACACCGAGGGCGAAGGCAAGCUUCUAGGACAGCACUGACGCUGAGGGACGAAAGCUAGGGUAGCAAACCGGAUUAGAGACCCGGGUAGUCCUAGCCGUAAACGAUGGAUACUAGCUGUUCGAGUCUGACUCGAUUGGCGUAAGCUAACGCGUUAAGUAUCCCGCCUGGGGAGUACGACCGCAAGGUUAAAACUCAAAGGAAUUGACGGGGGAGCGCACAACCAGUGGAGCAUGUGGUUUAAUUCGAUACGAAGCGAAGAACCUUACCUGGGCUUGAAAUGUACCUGCAAAUUUUGGGAAACCAGAAUCGCUUUCGAAGGUGGUACACAGCUGCUGCAUGGCUGUCGUCAGCUCGUGUCGUGAGACGUCCGCUUAAGUGCGGUAACGAGCGCAACCCUUGCCCUAUGUUGUAUUUCAUAGGGGACUGCCUUGUUACAAACAGGGAGGAAGGAGAGGACGACGUCAAGUCAGCAUGGCGCUUAUGUCCAGGGCUACACACAUCCUACAAUGGCCACUACAACGGGUUGCGAUGAGGCAACUCUUAGCCAAUCCUACAAAAGUGGUCUCAGUUCGGAUUGCAGGCUGCAAUUCGCCUGCAUGAAGUCGGAAUUGGUAGUAAUCGCGAGUCAGCAGAUCGCGGUGAAUACGUUCUCGCUCCUUGUACACACUGCCCGUCAAGCCAGCAAAGUCGGCAGUACCCGAAGUAGGAAUUCCUAACUUGAACUUGUUCAGGAAGGAGCCUCCUAAGGCAAGGUCGGCGAUGAAGACUAAGUCGUAACAAGGUAACC